rnacentral:rRNA from 1 species
AUGGCGAUGGAGUGGAGGAAGGUUGAUAGUGAGAGAAGAGAGGAGAUCAAGGAGAGCAAUGAGAUGGGCACAGAGGUGCUCCCGGCCAUUGAUAACAAGGGCAAGGAGCCGGUUCAUCCAAUGCCCGAGGUGGUGCUGCCGCCCACCGCCGAGGAAGAACCGAAGACACCAACGGUUGGCAACAACAAGCGCAUGGAGGAGCCCCCAAGCAGCAAGUGCCGCAACUAUGACCACUCCCAUGAGGAGGGUGGCCCAACUCACUUCUGCAAGGUCAUCCUUGCACCGAAGUUUGAGUGCAUCCCCAUGCCCCUGGACUUCACCAAGCACUUCGACGCGGUGCCGGCGGAGUUCAAGCUGAGGAACAACACCGGCUGCUCCUGGAGGGUGACGGUGAAGCUGAUGAAUGGCAGGAUCGGCUACAUGGUGACGUUCAAGCUCCUGACUCCCGACACCCUCAAGGUCAUCAUCUUCGAAGACGAUGGCAUUGAGGUGGUCAACAAGUGCGGGAAGCACGAUGAAGCCUUUGUCGCCAGGGAAUAG